CAGUGAGCUGCCCACAACACUCGCACACCCUCUGGAAGCCUCUCCCCUCAUCCUCUUGCCGUGGACGACCGCUCCACCAGAGCACCGCCACGGUGGUGGGCUCUCGGAGCUUCUCCCGGCGUCAAGAGCCCCUCCCCGAGCUAUUUAAGUGUGUCCCCGAGCUCCCCUCCUCACCAGCAAUCCCAUCCCUCUCUGAAUCGAGCCCCAGAGCUCCCUCCCCACCGCAAUUGGCGAAGCCCCAUCGCCACUCCCCUCGCCCACUCUAGCGCCCCGUCCCUCCCCUCCUUUCUGCCCGAGGCCGCCGCCUCCCAUAUGUCUCGCCGAGCUGUCGCCGUCUCCGUCUUAACUAGGGAAGUGCUGCCGAAGCAGCACCCCUGGCGCGCGUCCGCCACCGCCUUCCGGUCAAUGACUAUAGCACUACCGGCCGGCUCUCGAGCCCUGGCGACCACCUGUGGACGCGACAGAGCACCGCGAGCUUGCCCCGCCCGUCCACGGGCGCCGCCGUGGCCCCGCGCGCUGGCAUCGUGCCCAGCUGGUGCCGGCUCCGUUCUCUGUCGCGGGCUAGGAGACGACCAAGAGGAGAGAAGAAGGAGAUGCAGUGGGCCCCGCCUGUCAGCCACUAGAGGUCGAGCCCGAUUGAAUAAGUGGAAACGUAUUUCCGAGGCGUACUCUGCCCAGAGGCAUGUUCUGCUUUUCAGCCAUGGCCCUGUUCGAGAGAAUCGUUUUACAGAUUGGUCCCUGAUGUUCAAACGCCCAUAUCUUCACGACGUAACCCCGAUUGAGCCCUCUCCGAGAGAGAACAGUUUCUGGUGAUCCUUUCCGCGGACUCUCCGCCCUUCUUCCCGGAGUAUUCCUUGACCCCAGGCAAGCCGACCAUCUGAUAUAUGCCCUAAAGCAUUGCUCUGUGAUAUUUAUUGCGUGUUUAAAGUAAUUAGCUUAGGCUUGUAUGCGUAGUAGUGAGCUGUACGGGACACUACUGAACCCUUGCUUGCAAUUUCUUCGAUGAUGAUACCACGCCUCUGUCUAAGCUAUUUUCGGCCUUCCGGGGUGUAUGCCGACUUUAUAUCUCUCUUGUCAGCAACUGGCCCAUGUUCUGAGCUGCUUUUCGGCCAUCUCGGACAUUUGUUGAAUUUCUUUCCAUAGUAGUGACCCUAUGCUCUGAGCAGUUUUUCGGCCGUCUUAGGGAACUGCUACAUUCUUUUUAUCAACACCGUCUCAUGCUCUCAGCUAUUUUCCAGCCGCCUUGAGCCGGGGUUGAGUUAUUCCGGUGAUGUCCCAGAUCUGAGUUGUAAAGACCGUUCUGGUGGCUACUGGUUUCUUUGUCGGUUUUAUGCAAGGGUUUCGAUGGUCGUAACUUACAAUUAGAACUUGUAAAGUGAUAACUUGCCAUUUAAAUUUUGUUGCACUAAUGACUUGUCGUGAUAUUAUAUGGAGAUAGAUGGUUAUGUUUCAUGCUUAGCUACUGCCAUCUCAAAUUAUUGUGAUCAACAACCAUGCUUGUUAAAUACUUGCUAAGGCUAAACCUAGUCGAUUGAUCUAGAGUCACCUCUUCGGGCUUAUCCGUGCAACCACAUUUGCCGGUAUGUGACGGCCUUGACUUGGUCUGCUCGCUGCUCUUUCAGCGGUACCAACAGACAGGGAAGGGUAUGCGCGUGCGCUACCCUUGCCUGGUAGGCAGCGAUAACCUUGUGAGCCCAGUUGAUUGUUUUGUACCAGGUUCCCUGUUUGGGAUAGUUUAGUUGGCCACGACGGUGGCAGGUGUCACAGGGUGAAACAGGGGCCACCCAGGGCAGGACUCCGGGCGAGGAUGAAUUCCGGUGGUACGAUGGGAGAGUCAUGGGUCAGGCGGGUUUCAUUGGAGCAACGCUGGUCCACCCGAAUGGGAUCGCGAGGCCAGGUGCUCCAUGGUGUGGGUACAGUGCACAACCUCUGCAGAGUGGAAAAUUUAUUCGAAUAGCCGCGUCCACAGUAUUGGACAGCCCAUACAUACCUCACUAGGUGGUCAACCAUAGAAACAGUAAUAAUGCUGGAAGAACUUGUUCUAUGAUCAGAAGUACUCGAUGACUUGUGAGUAUUCGGACGGUCGUGGGACAACCCGUAAGAGAGUAAGUUGGAUCUGGCUAAGAGUUGGAUUGGAUCAUGAGAAUAUUCGGAGUAUAAAUCAUUUACUUAAUAUGCUUUACCUUAUCGUAAUUACUUUAGUAGUUAUCUUGCUGGAUAAUCCUGUUAUAUCAUGAUAUUUAAUCCUGCUAGAUAGGUAAGCUAUGCCAUGAUAAGUAAUGUUGCUCUAAUAACAAAUGCAUCCUGGAAUGCCAUGGAUUGCAUUGCUUGGUGUAUAUGUUAGUUUGGUUUGCUUAUGAGUACAUUCAAAAGUACCCAAUGACCUUUAACAUGGCCAGGUUCACAUAAGGAUCUGUCGUCCGCCGUCAAGGAGCCGUAGCAUUCGCAGGCUAGGAGAGUAACCAAGUCAGAUCCCUGUGGAUUGGAGCCGCACCAAGACCAUGUUGCCUUAGAUUAAGAUUUUCCACUACCAUCACUCUUGUAAUAUAUAUUGUAAGACUUAUAUAUCCAUUAAUAGAAAUGCCUGUGUUCGUAA